rnacentral:rRNA from 2 species
GAACUAGAUUAGAAGCUUGCUUCUAUGACUGUUAGCGGCGGACGGGUGAGUAACACGUGGGCAACCUGCCUGUAAGACUGGGAUAACUUCGGGAAACCGAAGCUAAUACCGGAUAGGAUCUUCUCCUUCAUGGGAGAUGAUUGAAAGAUGGUUUCGGCUAUCACUUACAGAUGGGCCCGCGGUGCAUUAGCUAGUUGGUGAGGUAACGGCUCACCAAGGCAACGAUGCAUAGCCGACCUGAGAGGGUGAUCGGCCACACUGGGACUGAGACACGGCCCAGACUCCUACGGGAGGCAGCAGUAGGGAAUCUUCCGCAAUGGACGAAAGUCUGACGGAGCAACGCCGCGUGAGUGAUGAAGGCUUUCGGGUCGUAAAACUCUGUUGUUAGGGAAGAACAAGUACGAGAGUAACUGCUCGUACCUUGACGGUACCUAACCAGAAAGCCACGGCUAACUACGUGCCAGCAGCCGCGGUAAUACGUAGGUGGCAAGCGUUAUCCGGAAUUAUUGGGCGUAAAGCGCGCGCAGGCGGUUUCUUAAGUCUGAUGUGAAAGCCCACGGCUCAACCGUGGAGGGUCAUUGGAAACUGGGGAACUUGAGUGCAGAAGAGAAAAGCGGAAUUCCACGUGUAGCGGUGAAAUGCGUAGAGAUGUGGAGGAACACCAGUGGCGAAGGCGGCUUUUUGGUCUGUA